rnacentral:lncRNA from 1 species
UCGGCCUUAAACUGUGAGUUUUGUUUUUUAAUCUGUGAUAUUUUUGUGGUCCUCUUUCCAGUGUUUCUGAGCUGCUGUGAGAACGUGAAAUAUAGGCUCUGGUGGCAGUUCAAUCAGUGCCCUCCUCAGAGGCAAGAGGUCUUUCUUACAGCCACUUGAUAUUCCAGGGUUUUUUUAUAUAUCUUUCUUUCUUUUUUUUACAGCCUAGCACCGAACACACAUUGGAGCAGGAGUUUUCAGUGAUCUCUAGGCUUGUUUCUGAGUGGUUAUUCUCCAAGUAUAAAACUCUAGACUUGGAGCUGCAGAAGACUAAUGGAUAUGUUGUGAUUUUGGCUUCAGUCUCAGCCUGA